AGUGAACGCUGGCGGUAGGCCUAACACAUGCAAGUCGAACGGCAGCACAGUAAGAGCUUGCUCUUACGGGUGGCGAGUGGCGGACGGGUGAGGAAUACAUCGGAAUCUACUUUUUCGUGGGGGAUAACGUAGGGAAGCUUACGCUAAUACCGCAUACGACCUACGGGUGAAAGCAGGGGAUCUUCGGACCUUGCGCGAUUGAAUGAGCCGAUGUCGGAUUAGCUAGUUGGCGGGGUAAAGGCCCACCAAGGCGACGAUCCGUAGCUGGUCUGAGAGGAUGAUAAGCCACACUGGAACUGAGACACGGUCCAGACUCCUACGGGAGGCAGCAGUGGGGAAUAUUGGACAAAGGGCGCAAGCCUGAUCCAGCCAUACCGCGUGGGUGAAGAAGGCCUUCGGGUUGUAAAGCCCUUUUGUUGGGAAAGAAAAGCAGCAGGUUAAUACCCCGCUGUUCUGACGGUACCCAAAGAAUAAGCACCGGCUAACUUCGUG
rnacentral:rRNA from 1 species